UACAGGGGGGCAAGCGUUGUUCGGAAUUACUGGGCGUAAAGGGCCAGUAGGCGGCCAACUAAGUCGGAUGUGAAAUCCCCAGGCUUAACCUGGGAACUGCAUCCGAUACUGGAUGGCUUGAAUUCGGGAGAGGGAUGCAGAAUUCCAGGUGUAGCGGUGAAAUGCGUAGAUAUCUGGAGGAAUACCGGUGGCGAAGGCGGCAUCCUGGACCGACAUUGACGCUGAACGGCGAAAGCUAGGGAGCGAAACAGG
rnacentral:rRNA from 1 species